CCUGGUUGAUCCUGCCAGUAGUCAUAUGCUUGUCUCAAAGAUUAAGCCAUGCAUGUGUAAGUACAGGCCGACUUAAGGCGAAACCGCGGACGGCUCAUUAAAUCAGAUAUAACUCAUUGGAUCUCUGCUGAACCGCAUUACUUGGAUAACUGUGGUAAUUCUAGAGCUAAUACAUGCCUUUGUAGUCUCCGACCGCGAGGGAGGAGCGCUUUUAUUAGACCAAAACCCUCGGCAGCCGGUUCCCGCAAGGGGCCGGCCGCACACAUCUUGGUGAAUCAGAAUAACUUUUGCCGAGCGCACGACCCUCCCGUAACCCGGGUUGGGUCGGCGCCGCGUCCUGCAGGCGUCUGCCUUAUCAGCUCUCGAUUGUAGGUUAAACGCCUACAAUGGCUAUCACGGGUAACGGGGAAUCAGGGUUCGAUUCCGGAGAGGGAGCCUGAGAAACGGCUACCACAUCUAAGGAAGGCAGCAGGCGCGCAAAUUACCCACUCCCGGCACGGGGAGGUAGUGACGAAAAAUACUGUUGCGAGCCCCGAACGGGGCCUCGCAAUUGGAAUGAGUACACUUUAAAUCCUUGUACGAGGAUCGAGUGGAGGGCAAGUCUGGUGCCAGCCGCCGCGGUAAUUCCAGCUCCACUAGCGUAUAUUAAAGUUGUUGCGGUUGAAACGCUCGUAGUUUGACUUCUGCUCCGGACCGGCGGUCCGCCUUAGCGGCGGCUACUGCCGGGUUCCGAGCUGUGUCCCCGCCGGCGCACAUGGGGUUUUUAUGCCCUUAACCGGGUGUCCCCUUGUGGCCGGCACGUUUACUUUGAAAAAAUUAGAGUGCUCAGAGCAGGCUGGUUUUUGCUUACAGCCCGAAUGGUCGUGCAUGGAAUGAUGGAACAGGACCUCGGUUCUAUUUUGUCGGUUUUUCGGAACCCGAGGUAAUGAUUAAUAGAAGCAGACGGGGGCAUUCGUACUGCGACGCUAGAGGUGAAAUUCUUAGACCGUCGCAUGACGACCUACUGCGAAAGCAUCUGCCAAGGAUGUUUUCAUUGAUCAAGAACGAAAGUUAGAGGUUCGAAGGCGAUCAGAUACCGCCCUAGUUCUAACCUUAAACGAUGCUGACUAGCGAUCCGCCGCAGUUAUUCCCAUGACCCGGCGGGUAGCUUCCGGGAAACCAAAGUCUUUGAGUUCCGGGGGAAGUAUGGUUGCAAAGCUGAAACUUAAAGGAAUUGACGGAAGGGCACCACCAGGAGUGGAGCCUGCGGCUCAAUUUGACUCAACACGGGGAAACUCACCAGGCCAGGACACCGGAAGGAUUGACAGAAUGAAGGCUCUUUCUCGAUUCGGUGGGUGGUGGUGCAUGGCCGUUCUUAGUUGGUGGAGUGAUCUGUCUGGUUAAUUCCGAUAACGAACGAGACUCUAGCCUGCUAAAUAGUCGACGGAUCUCAACCCCGUUGCCCCCGUUGUCGUUCGCGGCGAUGCGGGGCGCGGGUUCCCCGAAACCCGGUCGUCGUGCGGGCCUCCACCGUCGGUCGGUUAGCGCCGCCGGCGGCGCGCCCCGCGGCGCCGGAAACUGGCGUCCGCUUCGCAGUCUUCUUCUUAGAGGGAUAAGCGGCAGCAAAAAAUAUACUAGCCGCACGAGAGUUUGAGCCAUAACAGGUCUGUGAUGCCCUUAGAUGUUCUGGGCCGCACGCGCGCUACAAUGGAGAGUUCAGCGAGCUGUCCCUGCUCCGAGAGGAGCGGGUAACCUCGUGAAAGCUGUCCUUAAAGGGGAUUGGGGCUUGCAAAUGUUCCCCAUGAACGAGGAAUUCCCAGUAGGCGCAAUUCACCAGAUUGCGCCGAUUUAGUCCCUGCCCUUUGUACACACCGCCCGUCGCUACUACCGAUUGAAUGGUCUAGUGAGGGCACCGGACUGGCGCCCUUGGAGCCGCUACCGCCUCGGCGGGCAGCGCCCUCGGGUCGACGGAAAGGUGUCCAAGCUGGGUCAUUUAGAGGAAGUAAAAGUCGUAACAAGGUUUCCGUAGGUGAACCUGCGGAAG
rnacentral:rRNA from 1 species